rnacentral:rRNA from 1 species
GAUGAACGCUGGCGGCGUGCCUAAUACAUGCAAGUCGAGCGAACGGAUGAGAAGCUUGCUUCUCUGAUGUUAGCGGCGGACGGGUGAGUAACACGUGGAUAACCUACCUAUAAGACUGGGAUAACUUCGGGAAACCGGAGCUAAUACCGGAUAAUAUUUUGAACCGCAUGGUUCAAAAGUGAAAGACGGUCUUGCUGUCACUUAUAGAUGGAUCCGCGCUGCAUUAGCUAGUUGGUAAGGUAACGGCUUACCAAGGCAACGAUGCAUAGCCGACCUGAGAGGGUGAUCGGCCACACUGGAACUGAGACACGGUCCAGACUCCUACGGGAGGCAGCAGUAGGGAAUCUUCCGCAGUGGGCGAAAGCCUGACGGAGCAACGCCGCGUGAGUGAUGAAGGUCUUCGGAUCGUAAAACUCUGUUAUUAGGGAAGAACAUAUGUGUAAGUAACUGUGCACAUCUUGACGGUACCUAAUCAGAAAGCCACGGCUAACUACGU